rnacentral:tRNA from 2 species
AGGGGUUUAGGUUAAACAAGACCAAGAGCCUUCAAAGCCCUAAGCAAGUAUAACUUUACUUAACCCCUG